AGCUUGCUGGGUGCUCGAGUGGCGAACGGGUGAGUAACACGUGGGUGAUCUGCCCCUAACUUCGGGAUAAGCUUGGGAAACUGGGUCUAAUACCGGAUAGGACAAUCGUUUAGUGUCGGUUGUGGAAAGUUUUUUCGGUUAGGGAUGAGCCCGCGGCCUAUCAGCUUGUUGGUGGGGUAAUGGCCUACCAAGGCGUCGACGGGUAGCCGGCCUGAGAGGGUGGACGGCCACAUUGGGACUGAGAUACGGCCCAGACUCCUACGGGAGGCAGCAGUGGGGAAUAUUGCACAAUGGGCGCAAGCCUGAUGCAGCGACGCCGCGUGGGGGAUGACGGCCUUCGGGUUGUAAACCUCUUUCGACAGGGACGAAGCUUUGGUGACGGUACCUGUAUAAGAAGCACCGGCUAACUACGUGCCAGCAGCCGCGGUAAUACGUAGGGUGCGAGCGUUGUCCGGGAAUUACUGGGCGUAAAGAGCUCGUAGGUGGUUUGUCGCGUCGUCUGUGAAAUUCCGGGGCUUAACUUUCGGGCGUGCAGGCGAUACGGGCAUAACUUGAGUGCUGUAGGGGAGACUGGAAUUCCUGGUGUAGCGGUGGAAUGCGCAGAUAUCAGGAGGAACACCGAUGGCGAAGGCAGGUCUCUGGGCAGUAACUGACGCUGAGGAGCGAAAGCAUGGGGAGCGAACAGGAUUAGAUACCCUGGUAGUCCAUGCCGUAAACGGUGGGCGCUAGGUGUAGGGGUCUUCCACGACUUCUGUGCCGUAGCUAACGCAUUAAGCGCCCCGCCUGGGGAGUACGGCCGCAAGGCUAAAACUCAAAGGAAUUGACGGGGGCCCGCACAAGCGGCGGAGCAUGUGGAUUAAUUCGAUGCAACGCGAAGAACCUUACCUGGGCUUGACAUAUACAGGACUGGGCCAGAGAUGGUCUUUCCCUUUGUGGCUUGUAUACAGGUGGUGCAUGGUUGUCGUCAGCUCGUGUCGUGAGAUGUUGGGUUAAGUCCCGCAACGAGCGCAACCCUUGUCUUAUGUUGCCAGCGGUUUUGGCCGGGGACUCAUGAGAGACUGCCGGGGUUAACUCGGAGGAAGGUGGGGAUGACGUCAAAUCAUCAUGCCCCUUAUGUCCAGGGCUUCACACAUGCUACAAUGGUCGGUACAACGCGCUGCGAGCCUGUGAGGGUGAGCGAAUCGCUGAAAGCCGGCCUCAGUUCGGAUUGGGGUCUGCAACUCGACCCCAUGAAGUCGGAGUCGCUAGUAAUCGCAGAUCAGCAACGCUGCGGUGAAUACGUUCCCGGGCCUUGUACACACCGCCCGUCACGUCAUGAAAGUUGGUAACACCCGAAGCCCAUGGCCUAACCCCCUUUUGUGGGGAGGGAGUGGUCGAAGGUGGGAUCGGCGAUUGG
rnacentral:rRNA from 1 species